CCUACGGGUGGCAGCAGUGAGGAAUAUUGGUCAAUGGACGAGAGUCUGAACCAGCCAAGUAGCGUGAAGGAUGACUGCUCUAUGGUUUGUAAACUUCUUUUAUAUGGGAAUAAAACGUUCCACGUGUGGGAUUUUGUAUGUACCAUAUGAAUAAGGAUCGGCUAACUCCGUGCCAGCAGCCGCGGUAAUACGGAGGAUCAGAGCGUUAUCCGGAUUUAUUGGGUUUAAAGGGAGCGUAGGUGGAUUGUUAAGUCAGUUGUGAAAGUUUGCGGCUCAACCGUAAAAUUGCAGUUGAAACUGGCAGUCUUGAGUACAGUAGAGGUGGGCGGAAUUCGUGGUGUAGCGGUGAAAUGCUUAGAUAUCACGAAGAACUCCGAUUGCGAAGGCAGUUCACUGGACUGCAACUGACACUGAGGCUCGAAAGUGUGGGUAUCAAACAGGAUUAGAUACCCCAGUAGUC
rnacentral:rRNA from 1 species